AUGCAGUCGAGCGGAGAUGAGGUGCUUGCACCUUAUCUUAGCGGCGGACGGGUGAGUAAUGCUUAGGAAUCUGCCUAUUAGUGGGGGACAACAUUCCGAAAGGAAUGCUAAUACCGCAUACGCCCUACGGGGGAAAGCAGGGGAUCUUCGGACCUUGCGCUAAUAGAUGAGCCUAAGUCGGAUUAGCUAGUUGGUGGGGUAAAGGCCUACCAAGGCGACGAUCUGUAGCGGGUCUGAGAGGAUGAUCCGCCACACUGGGACUGAGACACGGCCCAGACUCCUACGGGAGGCAGCAGUGGGGAAUAUUGGACAAUGGGCGGAAGCCUGAUCCAGCCAUGCCGCGUGUGUGAAGAAGGCCUUUUGGUUGUAAAGCACUUUAAGCGAGGAGGAGGCUACUUAGAUUAAUACUCUAGGAUAGUGGACGUUACUCGCAGAAUAAGCACCGGCUAACUCUGUGCCAGCAGCCGCGGUAAUACAGAGGGUGCGAGCGUUAAUCGGAUUUACUGGGCGUAAAGCGUGCGUAGGCGGCUGAUUAAGUCGGAUGUGAAAUCCCUGAGCUUAACUUAGGAAUUGCAUUCGAUACUGGUCAGCUAGAGUAUGGGAGAGGAUGGUAGAAUUCCAGGUGUAGCGGUGAAAUGCGUAGAGAUCUGGAGGAAUACCGAUGGCGAAGGCAGCCAUCUGGCCUAAUACUGACGCUGAGUACGAAAGCAUGGGGAGCAAACAGGAUUAGA
rnacentral:rRNA from 1 species